ACCAGCGUGAACUGGUGUAAACUCUCAUGGAUAUAGAAUAUUUGUCUUCUAAAAGGAAUAAUGCUUUCUAUGUAUCCGGAAAAUUCUAGUAUUGUUUACAUUAAUGCGGUCUGUCUACUCUGACGCAUUUUUUUUUUCUUUCUUUCUCAUGUUACUGAUAUGGCUAGCAGAUUAUCACAGAGGCUGAUUCUGUAUUCAGGGGCGCAAGAAAAAUUGCCUGCUUUGUUAAAGAUUGCCUUUCCUAAUGGCUAUCGAUAAGUCGGCAGAUGACAAUUACUUAAGCCCCACCGUUCUUUUGUUAACAUCUUAUUAUUACUCUUCGCUUCAUGAAUGAAAUGAACACAAUUCUGUUUUUCUGAAACACGAAUAUAGACGUUUUAAAAGUUUUAUUUUUCUGAAUGAGCUAAUUUAUGAUUCCUGUUCUGUCCAUAUUUUCACUCACUUUGGCUAAUGAAAUACAGGACAAAAAACUUUCACUUUCCUAGAGUGAUAAGUUUGUAAAUGUAUGGAAAUGAUUGACGUAAUCCAUACGGCUUAGCAUAAAGGACAAAAAGUCGAUUUGGCAUCCGCGUCAAUAGGAAUCAUAUAAGAUAGUAGACAAGCGCCUGCAUUUCAGUUGUUUCAGUCCUUUCGUUGACAGAAGAGUCACAGACAAUUCAGCCUUGCAUACGUGUCAGACCUUUCCAAGACCAAACGCCAUGAAGAUAAUUUUCCUGGUGCUGAUGUUGGUGUCCCUCCUGUUCCUCGCGGCCGACGCAGCGCCCCAGCUGGUCAUCACUCGCAGAAGACAUUUCCCCGGCGAGAGGCGACUCGGGAGCACCAACUACGGCCAGUACAGCUUCGGCAAGAGAGGCUACGCAAGACGAACCAAUCCAGCAAAGAAGAAUGCCUUCAACUGAGGGGCACUAAAACACCUUCCAUUUGCUGCACUUGCUGGAGAAACCAAGAGAGUUUUUUUGUGAUCGAAGCACUGCUGAAGAUAGUACCUUUUGUGUAUUAUCAUUUUGUUUUUAUUAUGAGAGAAUGUUUGCAAUGUAUUCUUCUCUAUGCACUAAAAGUUGCCAUAAUGUUAAGUGACAACAUAAUGAUUUAUUUAUUGUUUAGCUCUACUACCAAGAUACUUAUUGUUGAAGAUGACAGGGAUUCAGUAACUACUGAGUGUACAUUUCUGUUUUAAAAUGUCUUAUUCCAAUUCUUCAUGACGUGGAAUUUCAAAUAUAUUUUAUUUUGAUAUGUUUUCAUUAUUUUUUUCAUUUCUUUGAAGGCCUCAUUCUUAACUGUCUUUGUAAACAGAGUAACUACUCAUUGUCAUACAGUGAUAUUACAGACAGUACGGUAGGCCUUGUGUGUAUUGUUUGUCGAUUUCACGGUCCAAAAUAGUAGCUUUGUUUAAGUACAAACAGUGAUUAUUCAAUGAAUCUUGACUUCUUCGAAGCAUCUCAUUGUUAACUGUCCUUGCAGAUCGCAAUAAGAUUUGAAAUAAAAAAAAUGCAUUAGCAGAGCAAUUGUCUGUCUAACAUCAGCAUAAAAAAACGUUUUACAGCCAGGUACUAGUAGUCCUUGAACUGUGUUAAUAAUGAAAACAGAAGCUAUGAUGUUACCUCACUUUAGUUACUUAAUGUAGCUGAGAAUCACCAAAUAUAGGUGAAGAAACUUCUGAAUACAGAUAUAAGAAUAGAUAGGUAGAAAUGUUACAGUACAUUUUUUUAAUGCUAUCUAUGUCCGAAAACAUCUUUUUCAAUUCAAUAAGUUCAAUAAGUUUCCUGUAGCGAAUUUAUACCUAAGAACACUGAAAAACUGUAUAACAUACAGCAUGUGAUAGUACACAAGACAGACUAAGUAUAUAUACAUAUGCAUACAUUAUAUAUAUUUAUUACACACACACAUAUAUAUGUAUAAUAUAUAUAUGUAUAUAUAUAUACACAUUCACACACACACAUUCACACAUACACAGAUACAGGCAGAGUAAAAAAGACACACAUGUCCCGUAUAUAUUUAUAUAUAUAUUUCUUCCAUCAUUAUUACUAUUAUUAAUGUCAUUACUUUCGUCACCAUUACAAUUACCAUCAUCAUAAAUUAAUUAUCACUAAAAAUAUCAUUACUGCUCUAAAUACAGACACUUUCAUCAUAAUAUUCAUAAACAUUAUCAUCAUUCCCUCUAUGAUCUUAACUACUGCUAUCACUGUUAUAGCUGCUAGUUGCCACCCUACAAUCUACAAUAAGCAAGGCCAUGAAACCAGAAACACAAUACAUGCUUAAUCAUCCUGAAUCAGUUGCAGAAUAUUAAGUAUACUACAUAGUUUGGAUGUAAUGGAUGUAAUAAUAGUUACAUCCAAAAACUUGUUGUUUUUAUGAUGAUUUUGUCAUUAUUUCCUUCAUAUUUUUUUCCUAUUUAUAUAAGUUCUGAUCCGAGUUUCACAGUGUGUUAUAGCAGGUUACCAUUACAUUGCCGGUUAACUAAAUAACACUAACAUAACUUUGAAAUGGUAAACAUUUUUGUCUUGGGAUACAUAUUUACAGGGAAAGAGAGAGAGCGGAAGAGAAAGAGAAAGAGGAAGAGAGAGAGAAAGAGGAAGAGGAAGAGAGAGAGAUGGAGAAAGAGAAAGAGGAAGAGAGAGAGAAAG
rnacentral:lncRNA from 1 species